rnacentral:rRNA from 1 species
AGCGAACGCUGGUGGCAGGCCUAACACAUGCAAGUCGAACGGAUCCUUCGGGAUUAGUGGCGGACGGGUGAGUAACACGUGGGAACGUGCCCUUUGGUUCGGAACAACUCAGGGAAACUUGAGCUAAUACCGGAUGUGCCCUUCGGGGGAAAGAUUUAUCGCCAUUGGAGCGGCCCGCGUCUGAUUAGCUAGUUGGUGAGGUAACGGCCCACCAAGGCGACGAUCAGUAGCUGGUCUGAGAGGAUGAUCAGCCACACUGGGACUGAGACACGGCCCAGACUCCUACGGGAGGCAGCAGUGGGGAAUCUUGCGCAAUGGGCGAAAGCCUGACGCAGCCAUGCCGCGUGAAUGAUGAAGGUCUUAGGAUUGUAAAAUUCUUUCAGCGGGGACGAUAAUGACGGUACCCGCAGAAGAAGCUCCGGCCAACUUCGUG